GACGAACGCUGGCGGCGUGCUUAACACAUGCAAGUCGAACGGAAAGGCUCCAGCUUGCUGGAGUACUCGAGUGGCGAACGGGUGAGUAACACGUGGGUAAUCUGCCUGCACUCUGGGAUAAGCCUGGGAAACUGGGUCUAAUACUGGAUAUGACCUUUCUCCUUAUGGGGGUUGGUGGAAAGUUUUUCGGUGUAGGAUGAGCCCGCGGCCUAUCAGCUUGUUGGUGGGGUGAUGGCCUACCAAGGCGACGACGGGUAGCCGGCCUGAGAGGGUGAUCGGCCACAUUGGGACUGAGAUACGGCCCAGACUCCUACGGGAGGCAGCAGUGGGGAAUAUUGCACAAUGGGCGGAAGCCUGAUGCAGCGACGCCGCGUGAGGGAUGACGGCCUUCGGGUUGUAAACCUCUUUCAGCAGGGACGAAGCGUAAGUGACGGUACCUGCAGAAGAAGCACCGGCUAACUAUGUG
rnacentral:rRNA from 1 species